UGACCCGAGAUUGCGCUACUGCACUCCAGCCUGGGCGACAGAGCGAGGUUCCGUCUCGAAAAAAAAAACAACGAAAAGGGGACUCACUUCGGAGAAGCUGCCCUCUCUGCAAACUUAUUUGAAGAUGUGGUCUUGCUAUGUUGCCCGGGCUGAGUGCAGUGACUAUUCACAGGCCGGAUCUAGUGCACUGCAGUCUUGAACUCCUGGCUUACAGUCCUGCUGGUUCUGAGAGGCAGGGGAAGAAACGGCCACCAUGCUCUGCAGCUAGGUCUCAGCAUGAGGACCAAGAACCCUGGUGUUCCUCCACUCAUCGGAGCCGUAUCAUUUUGGUGCAUUGGCCAGGAAAGGAAAUUCAAUCAUGAGACUGGACCUUUGGCAAGUAAAGGGAGACUUAGGCUGGUUUUCUGAUGACCUUAAUAAGUAUAUGGAAGCUUUCCAAUAUUUAACUCAGGUAUGUAACCUCUCAUGAAGGGAUGUUAUGUUGCUGCUAAGGCAAACCCUUACUGUAGGUAAAAUAAGCAGCUCUGCAAGCAGAAGAAAAUUUUGGAGAUAAGUAAUGUCUCCUAUAGAAGGCCAAAAGGGAAAAGAAAAAAAUAGGGAAGGCAAAGGGGAAACACCAUUCCCAAUAGGAAAAGAGGCAAUACCUCCUGACAACCCUAAUUGGAACUCCUUUCUGUGGUGUUUUUCCUUGUUUUGCAGUUUAAAAUGGCUUCUCUUUUAUAAUGUUCUUCCAACAUGGAAAAGGUUAAUUUUCCAAACCUUAAAAUGUUUGGCAUAGAGUUGAGCUAGGGGGAAGGAAACCCAGCCCAGAAGCCUGAUAUGCUGGCAAAAGGGUAAAAAUUUCUUACCAGUCAGGCUUUUGGCUUCUCUCUUCCUGUGGAAACCGGCAAAAGGGAUAAUAAAGAUCAUUGUUUAUGUUUUCUUUAAAUUUAUAGUUAAUGAAAAAGGAUUUGUGAGGUUGGUCUUAAGCUGUAAACAAUCUGCUCUUCUUUGUAUGUCUUUCUGUGUGGUUCUGUUAAAGAAAAGGUAUCUUAGGUCAGGAUGCAGGCCCAGAAACCCAUAAGCCUGCUGUUCAAACCAGCCCAGCAAAGUAUCCAGUGGCAAACUUGGCUACAGGCCUCCAUCUUGUUUCAUGUCAUGGGAACAUAAUCUGUAACCAUGUGGCAAUACUUUGUUUUUGUCUCCGCCAUUUUACAAUGGUGGCUGUCUUCUUGUGCUAAAUCAGAUAAGCCAGUUUGUCAGUCUGGGCUGUGUCAGCUGAUCCAUCAAGGGCAGGGUUUACAAAACAUCUUAAGCACUGAUCAUAACAGCCGUUUAGGGAGGGUCAAAAUCUUGUAGCCUCCAAUUGCAUGGCUCUUGGGCCAUGGUUUCUAAUCCUGUAGCUAGUUUCUUGGUCUGGUCCCCAGGCAAAAGGGAAGUAUAUCUUGAGAAGCAGCUGCUAUCUUCUUUGUUUUAGACUAUAAACUGUAAACCAAGCUCCUCCCCAACUUGAUUCAGCCUAUGCCCGGGGAUGGGCAAGGACAGUUUGGGGACUGGAAACAAAAUGGAGUUGUUUGGGUGAGAUCUCUUCCACUGUCUCAGUCACAAUUUUGCAGUGACAGUUUCAAAAGCUGCCUGUCCGGGUGGAUCACGAGGUCAGGAGUUCAAGACCAGCCUAGUCAACAUGACGAAACCCUGUCUCUACUAAAAAA
rnacentral:lncRNA from 1 species